rnacentral:lncRNA from 1 species
GAGAGAAUUGGGACAGCUAGAGGAGGAAGGAGAAAGAGAGGGGGGCCUUCUUAGGGAAGAGAGAGAAAGAGAGGAGAUGAGAGGGGAAGAGAGAGAGUGCUAGAGAGACAGGGAGAGAGAGAGGAGAUGGGUUGACGAAAUGGGUUGGGGGAGAGAGAGUGGGAGAGAGGAAGAGAGAUGGUAGAGAGAGAGUUUCAUAAAGAAAUCUGGGAGUCCCAAGUAUUCAUAAAUCGCCAUGUGGAAUAGGAUAAUGUCCUCACGCACCACGUGUACCUGUGUUCUCUCAAAUUAAAUAGUACAAGUAACAUCACCAUCUC